rnacentral:rRNA from 1 species
CGCGUGUGUGAAGAAGGCCUUCGGGUUGUAAAGCACUUUCAGCUGUGAGGAAAGGCGAGUGGUUAAUACCCGCUUGCUGUGACGUUAACAGCAGAAGAAGGACCGGCUAACUCCGUGCCAGCAGCCGCGGUAAUACGGAGGGUCCGAGCGUUAAUCGGAAUUACUGGGCGUAAAGCGCGCGUAGGUGGUUCAGUCAGUCAGAUGUGAAAGCCCCGGGCUCAACCUGGGAACUGCACCUGAUACUGCUGAGCUAGAGUACGGUAGAGGGCAGUGGAAUUUCCGGUGUAGCGGUGAAAUGCGUAGAGAUCGGAAGGAACACCAGUGGCGAAGGCGACUGCCUGGACCGAUACUGACACUGAGGUGCGAAAGCGUGGGUAGCAAACAGGAUUAGAUACCCUGGUAGUCCACGCCGUAAACGAUGUCAACUAGCCGUUGGGACUCUUGAAGUCUUAGUGGCGCAGCUAACGCACUAAGUUGACCGCCUGGGGAGUAC